rnacentral:rRNA from 1 species
GCGAGUCUGAAUAGGGCGUUUAGUAUUUGGUCGUAGACCCGAAACCAGGUGAUCUACCCUUGGUCAGGUUGAAGUUCAGGUAACACUGAAUGGAGGACCGAACCGACUUACGUUGAAAAGUGAGCGGAUGAACUGAGGGUAGCGGAGAAAUUCCAAUCGAACCUGGAGAUAGCUGGUUCUCUCCGAAAUAGCUUUAGGGCUAGCCUCAAGUGAUGAUUAUUGGAGGUAGAGCACUGUUUGGACGAGGGGCCCCUCUCGGGUUACCGAAUUCAGACAAACUCCGAAUGCCAAUUAAUUUAACUUGGGAGUCAGAACAUGGGUGAUAAGGUCCGUGUUCGAAAGGGAAACAGCCCAGACCACCAGCUAAGGUCCCAAAAUAUAUGUUAAGUGGAAAAGGAUGUGGCGUUGCCCAGACAACUAGGAUGUUGGCUUAGAAGCAGCCAUCAUUUAAAGAGUGCGUAAUAGCUCACUAGUCGAGUGACACUGCGCCGAAAAUGUACCGGGGCUAAACAUAUUACCGAAGCUGUGGAUUGUCCUUUGGACAAUGGUAGGAGAGCGUUCUAAGGGCGUUGAAGCAUGAUCGUAAGGACAUGUGGAGCGCUUAGAAGUG